rnacentral:rRNA from 1 species
AGGAGUUUGAUCCUGGCUCAGGACGAACGCUGGCGGCGUGCUUAACACAUGCAAGUCGAACGAGAUUCAAUCAUUCGCAAGAAUGAGGAAGAUCUAGUGGCGAACGGGUGCGUAACACGUGAGGAACCUAUCCCAGUCUCUGGAAUAACAGGUGGAAACACCUGCUAAUACCGGAUGCCGUUGGACCACCGCAUGGUGAACCAACGAAAGAUUUAUCGGAGUGGGAGGGCCUCGCGGCUAUCAGCUUGUUGGCGGGGUAACGGCCCACCAAGGCGUCGACGGGUAGCUGGUCUGAGAGGAUGAUCAGCCACACUGGGACUGAGACACGGCCCAGACUCCUACGGGAGGCAGCAGUGGGGAAUCUUGCACAAUGGGCGCAAGCCUGAUGCAGCAACGCCGCGUGCGGGAAGAAGGCCCUAGGGUUGUAAACCGCUUUCAGCAGGGAAGAACAAUGACGGUACCUGUAAAAAGGUGCGGCCA